rnacentral:lncRNA from 1 species
AGUUUUCCCGCUUCUUUUCUUCAGGUCAACGUAAAUGCCAUUCACUUCAAAAUCGGGAAUCAAUCAACAAUAUACUCAGCAAUUCAAUUUAUCUAUUACUUCGUCACUGCACUCCAAUUUUGUUCUGAAAAUCAGGAAUCAAUCAACAAUAUACUCCGCUUGUAAAUAGGUAUCCUGACUUCUUAUAUUUCCUAUUUUCUCGAUCCACAACCCUAGAUGUCACCACCAGUGGAUGCGUCUCCUUCGUCCUCCUCUCACUGGAAAUAAACCGUAAAUGAUGUUGCUUCCUUCUCUUCUUGCCUCCUUUAUCGUUACUCAUGGUAUGCUUCUACCUCCAAUUUGUUGUUUAUCCAGGCCCGUUCUUUAAUCUGGUCUUCUUAUAUUUUAUUGUUUGUUCAAUUUUUUCUUGAUUCUAAAUGUGAGUAUUAGAUUGAUCCAUCACUUAAUUCUUUCUUCUUAACCUAGCGUAAUAAAUGAUGUUUAGAAACCGUUGUACAUGAUUUGCUAAUGGUAAACUUGAAUACGAUGGAUUGAUGGUGCACUGUAUGUGUUUGAUAAAAUGCUUGUGAGAACUUGGGCUUGUGUUAGUGUUUGUGUGUGUUUGGGAUGCUGUAAUUUAAAUAAAGUAAAGUAUAAUCAUGUUUCUUUGAAACCUAAUAGGGCUUUGUAUUCUUGCAGUUUUGGAAAGUGUCAAAUAAUUCAUUGGAGGCAAGUUCACAAACUAGAGUGCUAAUUGUUGGUGUGCAACAGUAGUUGUGUAUUCACCUUCUGAUUUUAGCAAUCAGUAAAAUUAAGGUUGUACUUUGGAGGGGCUUUUCCGUUUAAAAUUUUUUUCACUAAGAUGAGUAAGACGAGAAUAAACGGUUCAAUUUUUAUUAAUCAUACAAGCGGCAAAAUGAUUACGUUUAACACAUUAGUUGGGCCUAGUUGUUGCUUUAUGAUGUUUUCAAU